GACGAACGCUGGCGGCGUGCUUAACACAUGCAAGUCGAACGGAAAGGCCCUGCUUUUGUGGGGUGCUCGAGUGGCGAACGGGUGAGUAACACGUGAGUAACCUGCCCUUGACUUUGGGAUAACUUCAGGAAACUGGGGCUAAUACCGGAUAGGAGCUCCUGCUGCAUGGUGGGGGUUGGAAAGUUUCGGCGGUUGGGGAUGGACUCGCGGCUUAUCAGCUUGUUGGUGGGGUAGUGGCUUACCAAGGCUUUGACGGGUAGCCGGCCUGAGAGGGUGACCGGCCACAUGGGGACUGAGAUACGGCCCAGAAUCCAACGGGAGGCAGCAGUGGAGAAUAUUGCGCAAUGGGCGGAAGCCUGAUGCAGCGACGCCGCGUGCGGGAUGACGGCCUUCGGGUUGUAAACCGCUUUCGAAUGUAACGAAGCGUGAGUGACGGUAAUGGGUAAAGAAGCACCGGCUAACUACGUG
rnacentral:rRNA from 1 species